rnacentral:sRNA from 1 species
UUGUCUCGAGCGUGGUCGAGGCGCCAUCUUCA